GGAAAGGGGGCACCCCUGUCUCGUGCCAUUGAAGGGCUAAUUUUAAUCUCAGUGCGAAGGUACUACAGGAUGGAUUUUACCAUAUAAAAUAAGCAAUAAAAGUAAACCAAAUAAAAUAUUAUGAGUUGAUUGCUGUUAAGGGGACUUCGUCAGCAAAUUAAGUUAAUCAAAAUCCUGUUAUUUUUUGACCGAUAACAUUUUGCGCAUAUCUGAUUGGCAUAAAACCCAUGUGCAGAC